rnacentral:sRNA from 2 species
AUAUGAUAAACGCUUAAUCCUCUUCACGGAGGAGCGGGGGAACCAUCGAAGCUUAUAAUACUGCUUCUGGGGUGAAUUCUUUCUUACUUAGAAAGAACGGGUACUCUCAAACCCGAAUCCGACAGCUAACCUCGUCAGCGCUUGGGAGAGAAUAC